AGCGGCGGAUGGGUGAGUAACACGUGGGGAACCUGCCCCUAAGUCUGGGAUACCAUUUGGAAACAGGUGCUAAUACCGGAUAAUAAAGCAGAUCGCAUGAUCAGCUUUUGAAAGGCGGCGUAAGCUGUCGCUAAGGGAUGGCCCCGCGGUGCAUUAGCUAGUUGGUGAGGUAACGGCUUACCAAGGCGACGAUGCAUAGCCGAGUUGAGAGACUGAUCGGCCACAUUGGGACUGAGACACGGCCCAAACUCCUACGGGAGGCAGCAGUAGGGAAUCUUCCACAAUGGACGCAAGUCUGAUGGAGCAACGCCGCGUGAGUGAAGAAGGUUUUCGGAUCGUAAAGCUCAGUUGUUGGUGAAGAAGGAUAGAGGUAGUAACUGGCCUUUAUUUGACGGUAAUCAACCAGAAAGUCACGGCUAACUACGUGCCAGCAGCCGCGGUAAUACGUAGGUGGCAAGCGUUGUCCGGAUUUGUUGGGCGUAAAGCGAGCGCAGGCGGAAAAAUAAGUCUAAUGUGAAAGCCCUCGGCUUAACCGAGGAACUGCAUCGGAAACUGUUCUUCUUGAGUGCAGAAGAGGAGAGUGGAACUCCAUGUGUAGCGGUGGAAUGCGUAGAUAUAUGGAAGAACACCAGUGGCGAAGGCGGCUCUCUGGUCUGCAACUGACGCUGAGGCUCGAAAGCAUGGGUAGCGAACAGGAUUAGAUACCCUGGUAGUCCAUGCUGUAAACGAUGAGUGCUAAGUGU
rnacentral:rRNA from 1 species